rnacentral:rRNA from 1 species
GGAGGAAUAUUGGUCAAUGGGGGAAACCCCGAACCAGCAACGCCGCGUGAGGGAUGAAGGCCUUCGGGUUGUAAACCUCUUUUCAGGGAGACGAGAAAGGACGGUAUCCCUGGAAUAAGUCACGGCCAACUACGUGCCAGCGGCCGCGGUAAAACGUAGGUGACGAGCGUUAGCCGGAUUUACGGGGCGUAAAGCGCUUGUAGGUGGGCUUGGAAGAUGUGCGUGAAAGCUCCGGGCGUAACUCGGAGA